rnacentral:lncRNA from 1 species
UGCCCGGGGAGGAGUCUGGCCUCUUCAGCUCCUGUGUGGUGGCCUGAUAUUCAGUCUGUGAGCUGGGAGCCUGUUGGCAGGUCCCUCUUUUUAUUUUCGCUGAGAGCUUUCUUUUACUAAAUGCCACCAUCCUUACCUUUCAAGGUGUCUGCGUGCCUAAUUUUUCCUGGUUGUUAGACAAGAACCCGGAUUUUAGUUGAACUCUGGAGCAAAAAUCCUGCAUCAUUUGUAGCAAAGCAAGAUGCUACCUUAUAAUUACCACGUAACAAUCAAUCGCAAACAUAGUGGCUUAAAGCAGCUCCUCUUUUAGCCUACAUAUCUGCAAACUGGCAGUCUGGACUGAGCUCAGCUGGAUGUUUUUUCUGAGCUGAUCAUGUAUGUAGGGUCUGCUGCUGGCUGGUUUAGACUGAUGGUGGAUGAGAAACCACAUGAAGAAGAGAGGCAUGAUGGUGGCAGAGUUCUGAAAGAGUCACACAGAAGGGCGUUGAGUUCGUGGCUUGAAAAUAGCAUCCUGUCACUUCUACCACAUUCUAUUUACCAGGCCAGCCCAGAUAAAGAUGUGAAGAAACAGACUCCAUCUCUUGAUGGGAGAAGUUGAAAAUCAAUGGAAAAUGGCAUGGAUAAGGAAAGGAGUGAUGAUUGUGGCCAUAUUUGUAAUGGCCAUAUUUGAUACCCUUUUCAGUUUUCCUAGCCACACUUCUCAUUGGCCAGGAAAAUUAAAUGCAUGUCAACACUGAAGAAAACAGAUCUUGGUUAAAAGCAAUGAUGUAGCUAAUAUCCCGUUCAGGUAAAAGAUUACUUAUAUAGUGUGAGACAGGCAUGAGGCAGAGAAGUGCUUACAGGUUGGUUUCUGCUUUGUUAGCAGAUUUACUUUUAGAUCAUAUACUACUUUGUUUUUACUGUUUUAUUGAGAAAAAAUAACAAAUAUUUCCAAAAUUUUGCAGCAUGCAACUCAGUGCUUCAGUUGGCAUUCAAUCAAAAUUUCCUUGAAAUAAAAAAAGACAAGAGAGAGACUUGGAAUUAUGACUCUUCUACUAGAUUAGCUCCUUCAUGUCAAAAUCUGUCAAGUUUAUGAUUUAUUCAGAUAGCACUUGUUUUUGGUGUAAUAACUAAACUGUUGCUUUAGAGUCUACUACAUUCUCCUCUAUUAUUUGGCAUUUUUCUCUUUAUUAUUUUGUUCAAGUAGGAUAUUGUGCUGAGUUGAACCAUGAAAUGAAUUGUAUUGAGCAACAUCAACAACAUAAAUAUUCUGGGGUGUCAUCUGCAUUUUCAUAUCUGGCUGCUCAAAUUCUUUUUACAGCUAUAGCUUUGAUAAUAAUGUAAUAGCAUAAUGUUUUUCAUUAGAUAUCAAAUCAUAGAAGACAACAAAGAUGUGUUAAGUUAGCAUAGUUUAAUAUAAGGAAACAACAGCAUCAGUAAAAGCAUUGAGCACUAAAUAUCUCUUCCAUUUCAGUUCUUUUACAGGAAGCUUUUGUUACGUGUUGUCAGCACAUUGCUGUGAUGCUCAAGUAUAGCUCUUUAAUGUGAAAACCUGGUAUUUGGGCAUGGCUUGAAGCAGGUGGGUGUCAUUGUGACUGGCUGCUACCUCCCCAUGAGUCUUCUAAAAUAAAACCUGCAAAUUCACAUCUUCCCCAUGCUUCCAGAGAAUGCAUAUUCUUCCUUUGAAAAAAGAAAACCAGGUAGUCGUACAGUGUCCAGAAGGCAAAAGGACAAGUAUGCACUGCCCUACUUACCUACUUUCCACACUGCUGCACAGGAAAAUCUGACAGAGGACAAUAACAAACAUCUCACCAGCUCAUGCGUUCUUUUUUGAUCCUAAUUCCGAGAGACUCACCAAAGACAUGAAGAGAAAACAAACAAUACUUUUCUUGGAAAUAUUGUAAUUGCUGGUACAUUUGUUGUUCUGGCAUAAAGUAGAAAUUGUCAGUUACCAGAACAAUACUCAGUGAACUUAUGAAUAUAUGGUAAAUAUUAAACACAUCCCACUUGGAUGAGAAGAUAUGUGAGUCGAUGAGUAUAGCUAAGUCUAAAGUUAGAUGUGUUCCAUAAACAUAGUGUUUAUGGAGUUGGUGCAUAUUCACUUCUCAGUAAGUUACACUUUCUUAAUUUCUUUUUGGUGCUAGGUGAUAUUCUGCUAAGUACACAUAAGUAUAGUAAUAUUGGUUAGUAAACUAGUAAAAUGCUCCCCUAGCUAUUAGUAAAUAGCUUCUGCCUUGUGUCUCCAAAAUAUCUCUACCAUUAUCCUGAUCUUGAUUGCUAUUUUAUAUUAAAAGAAGACAUGUGAAUGUAUAUGAACAUUUAAAAAAAUUGUUAUUUCUUAUUUACCUUUAAAAAUACAGUGUGCUGUACUAGUACUACUACUAAUAAAUAGCAUCAUUGACUCAUAGAUCACUUACUAUCAGCCAGGCAGUCCUAAGUAUUCCACUUACAUUAACUCACUUAAUGCAUGCAACAAUGCUAUGAGGCACUAUUUUUAUCAUUUGCAUAUUUACAUAUAAGGAAACAGAGACACUAAUAUUAAGUAGUAAGAGACAUAAAUGGGAGUCGAAGUUCCAUAGUCUAUUAAUAGUUUUGGAGUUCAGGAUAGUCUCUAUUACUCUAACCUACCUCAUUAAGCAGCAUCCUUGACUAUUCUAGGUAAAGAGUAUUGUAUUCUUUUCUAAGAUAAAAACAUGACUUGCUACUAUAUUUGUUUGGAUUCAGCUUUACUGGAACACAGCUUAGCUUUGACAUUUACAGACAUGGGUUAGGUUUCAUUUUGUUGCAAGAUAAAAGGCAAUCUGAUAUUUAGUUUACCUGCAAAAGGCAGUUAGGAAGCCCUAGAGGAACCUAAUUAAAAUGCAGCACAUUUCCAAGGCACCAUAUCUUGCUGUGUUGCCAUAGAAACAACGAGGAUUUCUGGUCACUGACCUUCCAGGGAAUCUGAGGAUGUAUUUUCAUAAGGUUCAUAAGAGAAGCCAUCCUAGUAUGUUAACCUAUAGUUGCAGAUCAACUAUACGUUAUGGAAAUUCCCUAUGCAAUUCUAGCCAAUUUUAAAACCAAAUUAUACUAGCAAAACUUACUAGAGGCUCAAACUAAGGGCUCUUUGAAGGAAUGUGGUUUAACUGCUUCCAAUAUAAGAUUUCAAAUAAUUAAGGAUACUGUAGUAGCAGCAAAAACAUUAAAGAAAAGCUUAGGUAAUUACACAAAGAACAUUGGAACUAAAAUCAUAUUUAGGAAUAGUUUCAAUGUUAUAUCUAUUCUAUUGCAUUUUGGGUUCUUCAAUUCUAGGCUUACUCAAAGGAUAAAACGAACAUUACUGCAUCAAUCAACUACACCUAGAAAAUCAAACUUUAUUAUACAAUAUUAAGUUGCUAAUAUUAUUUAUACCUAUAGAUUCUUAAUUCAUGCCCUUUACUAUCUAUUUAUAAAUUCAUUCAUUCCAUUACUAAAUAUGUAUAAUUGACAAUCCCAGUUAUACCUUAAUUUAUAUUUUUUUGUCUAUUUGACAUAAGCCAAGUACCCAUGCCAUGAUUCAACACAGAAAAUUACAAAGCCCACCUUACUGUAGACUGCUGCUCUUAUUGCAUCAACAUUCGUAUCUUCCACGGAAAAUAAUUAACUUAGUUCUAUAAUCAGGAUAUGCCCGGUUUAUUUACAAGGAAAUACCUAUCAGGUGCUAAUUUCUCUUAGAAUUAGAAAUCUUGGCCAGGCAUGGUGGCUCACACCUGUAAUCCCAGCACUUUGGGAGGCCGAGGUAGGUGGAUUA